rnacentral:rRNA from 1 species
UACGGAGGGUGCGAGCGUUGUCCGGAAUCACUGGGCGUAAAGGGCGCGUAGGCGGCUUUGCAAGUGACGGGUGAAAUCCCACGGCUUAACCGUGGAACUGCCUGUCAGACUGCAUGGCUUGAGACCAGGAGAGGUGAGUGGAAUUCCCAGUGUAGCGGUGAAAUGCGUAGAUAUUGGGAGGAACACCAGUGGCGAAGGCGGCUCACUGGACUGGUACUGACGCUGAGGCGCGAAAGCGUGGGGAGCAAACAGG